CGGCGCUGCGACUCUCGCGAGAUUGGCCGCCGUGGUGACGUGGCGCGGCCGGAAGUGGUGGCGAGGACGGAAGUGGUGGUGUGGCCAUGCUGCGGCAGGGCAGCAGUGAUGACAUUGAGGAUGUCUCUCUCUUUGAUGCCGAUGAUGAAGUAUCCAGGAGGUCAAAAAAGUCAAAAAUAAGGCAUCCAGUGGCAUCAUUUUUCCACCUGUUCUUCCGAGUCAGUGCGAUAGUUGUCUAUCUGCUCUGUGAGCUCUUAACUAGCAGCUUUAUUGCCUGCAUGGUGACAAUUAUCCUUCUCUUGUCAUGUGACUUUUGGGCCGUAAAGAAUGUCACAGGGCGACUGAUGGUUGGCCUCCGCUGGUGGAAUCAGGUGGAUGAUGAUGGAAGAAGUCACUGGAAAUUUGAAUCUAGAAAGGUAUCACCACAAGGGCAUAAAACCUCCUCAGAAUCAGAGUCCCGAAUUUUCUGGCUAGGUCUGAUUACCUGCCCUAUCAUCUGGGUGAUAUUUGCUUUCAGUGCUCUGUUUUCUUUCAAAGUGAAAUGGCUGGCAGUAGUUAUGAUGGGAGUGGUUCUACAGGGAGCCAACCUUUAUGGAUACAUCAGAUGCAAAGUUGGCAGUAGGAAGAACUUGACAAGCAUGGCAACCAGCUACCUUGGAAAGCAGUUCUUGCGGCAGACUGUGGCUAAAGAGGAACAGACAGCAUCCUGAGCAUGGUAGAAGCCUCAAGCUGGAUUGGAUUCACAGUAGUGAAGCACAGAGAAUGUUGCUCUGACCAUGAGAUUUGGGAGCUGCUUAAAUGAGGCCUGUGUCUGUACGAAGAGCACAACUGGACUAAAAGUAGGUUGCAAGGAAAGCUGUACUCAGUUUCAGAGGUGGAGUGAGUGUGAGAGCAGGUGAUGGGCAGAGCUGUUAAAAUGAUGCCACCUGGUGUGAGCUGGUGCACGGGGCAGCAGGGAACGUCACUGCUGGGGUACCAGGACAGAGGUUGCACAAGCAGAACUUCCUUCCACUCAAUUAUUCACCUCGCAGCGGAUUUGGGGGUAACCAUUAAAACAAGAGCUGAGGCUGAGUUCAGGCUGCUUUCUACUGUUCCAUGACCAAAGGGUGUUUCACAUAAUCUUAACGGAGCUGCCUGAAGACCUGGCAUCAGCAUGCUGACUUUGCAAGAUGUUUGCAUGUCUUGAAUCCAUGCAGCAUACUGUGUUCCCCAAGGAGUCUAUGGGCUAGGGGAAAAAAAAAAAAACAUUUGUAUGAUGGUGAAAUGUUGGCUUGCAGUGUUCACCUCAGUGGCAGAAAUUGUGUGUUCUGUGUGCAAAGCUGUACGAAAGGGCUCAGUUCCUUCUUGUCACGUAGUGCUGCUCAAGGCAGGUUGUGCUUUCACAGCGGGAGAUAUUGUAAACUUCUGAAGAGGUAUUUUAAAUUAAGAAUGUGGUUUCUUUUUGAAUAAUGGGUAUUGUAAAUUGUGGGAUUGCAUUAACAUUGUAUGUCUCCCUGGACCGUAGCAAUACUUGGGAGCUGUACAUUUGUUUAACUCUUUGGAUCGAUACCUUCCUUUUGUAAAUAUAUAUUUAUAAAAUCUUGAGAUUAAAAUAAUGCUUUGUUUAAACCAGA